GGGUUGUGAGGUUAAGCGACUAAGCGUACACGGUGGAUGCCCUGGCAGUCAGAGGCGAUGAAGGACGUGCUAAUCUGCGAUAAGCGUCGGUAAGGUGAUAUGAACCGUUAUAACCGGCGAUUUCCGAAUGGGGAAACCCAGUGUGUUUCGACACACUAUCAUUAACUGAAUCCAUAGGUUAAUGAGGCGAACCGGGGGAACUGAAACAUCUAAGUACCCCGAGGAAAAGAAAUCAACCGAGAUUCCCCCAGUAGCGGCGAGCGAACGGGGAGCAGCCCAGAGCCUGAAUCAGUGUGUGUGUUAGUGGAAGCGUCUGGAAAGGCGCGCGAUACAGGGUGACAGCCCCGUACACAAAAAUGCACAUGCUGUGAGCUCGAUGAGUAGGGCGGGACACGUGGUAUCCUGUCUGAAUAUGGGGGGACCAUCCUCCAAGGCUAAAUACUCCUGACUGACCGAUAGUGAACCAGUACCGUGAGGGAAAGGCGAAAAGAACCCCGGCGAGGGGAGUGAAAAAGAACCUGAAACCGUGUACGUACAAGCAGUGGGAGCCUCUUUUAUGGGGUGACUGCGUACCUUUUGUAUAAUGGGUCAGCGACUUAUAUUCUGUAGCAAGGUUAACCGAAUAGGGGAGCCGAAGGGAAACCGAGUCUUAACUGGGCGUUAAGUUGCAGGGUAUAGACCCGAAACCCGGUGAUCUAGCCAUGGGCAGGUUGAAGGUUGGGUAACACUAACUGGAGGACCGAACCGACUAAUGUUGAAAAAUUAGCGGAUGACUUGUGGCUGGGGGUGAAAGGCCAAUCAAACCGGGAGAUAGCUGGUUCUCCCCGAAAGCUAUUUAGGUAGCGCCUCGUGAAUUCAUCUCCGGGGGUAGAGCACUGUUUCGGCAAGGGGGUCAUCCCGACUUACCAACCCGAUGCAAACUGCGAAUACCGGAGAAUGUUAUCACGGGAGACACACGGCGGGUGCUAACGUCCGUCGUGAAGAGGGAAACAACCCAGACCGCCAGCUAAGGUCCCAAAGUCAUGGUUAAGUGGGAAACGAUGUGGGAAGGCCCAGACAGCCAGGAUGUUGGCUUAGAAGCAGCCAUCAUUUAAAGAAAGCGUAAUAGCUCACUGGUCGAGUCGGCCUGCGCGGAAGAUGUAACGGGGCUAAACCAUGCACCGAAGCUGCGGCAGCGACGCUUAGGCGUUGUUGGGUAGGGGAGCGUUCUGUAAGCCUGCGAAGGUGUGCUGUGAGGCAUGCUGGAGGUAUCAGAAGUGCGAAUGCUGACAUAAGUAACGAUAAAGCGGGUGAAAAGCCCGCUCGCCGGAAGACCAAGGGUUCCUGUCCAACGUUAAUCGGGGCAGGGUGAGUCGACCCCUAAGGCGAGGCCGAAAGGCGUAGUCGAUGGGAAACAGGUUAAUAUUCCUGUACUUGGUGUUACUGCGAAGGGGGGACGGAGAAGGCUAUGUUGGCCGGGCGACGGUUGUCCCGGUUUAAGCGUGUAGGCUGGUUUUCCAGGCAAAUCCGGAAAAUCAAGGCUGAGGCGUGAUGACGAGGCACUACGGUGCUGAAGCAACAAAUGCCCUGCUUCCAGGAAAAGCCUCUAAGCAUCAGGUAACAUCAAAUCGUACCCCAAACCGACACAGGUGGUCAGGUAGAGAAUACCAAGGCGCUUGAGAGAACUCGGGUGAAGGAACUAGGCAAAAUGGUGCCGUAACUUCGGGAGAAGGCACGCUGAUACGUAGGUGAAGUCCCUCGCGGAUGGAGCUGAAAUCAGUCGAAGAUACCAGCUGGCUGCAACUGUUUAUUAAAAACACAGCACUGUGCAAACACGAAAGUGGACGUAUACGGUGUGACGCCUGCCCGGUGCCGGAAGGUUAAUUGAUGGGGUCAGCGCAAGCGAAGCUCUUGAUCGAAGCCCCGGUAAACGGCGGCCGUAACUAUAACGGUCCUAAGGUAGCGAAAUUCCUUGUCGGGUAAGUUCCGACCUGCACGAAUGGCGUAAUGAUGGCCAGGCUGUCUCCACCCGAGACUCAGUGAAAUUGAACUCGCUGUGAAGAUGCAGUGUACCCGCGGCAAGACGGAAAGACCCCGUGAACCUUUACUAUAGCUUGACACUGAACAUUGAGCCUUGAUGUGUAGGAUAGGUGGGAGGCUUUGAAGUGUGGACGCCAGUCUGCAUGGAGCCGACCUUGAAAUACCACCCUUUAAUGUUUGAUGUUCUAACGUGGACCCGUGAUCCGGGUUGCGGACAGUGUCUGGUGGGUAGUUUGACUGGGGCGGUCUCCUCCUAAAGAGUAACGGAGGAGCACGAAGGUUGGCUAAUCCUGGUCGGACAUCAGGAGGUUAGUGCAAUGGCAUAAGCCAGCUUGACUGCGAGCGUGACGGCGCGAGCAGGUGCGAAAGCAGGUCAUAGUGAUCCGGUGGUUCUGAAUGGAAGGGCCAUCGCUCAACGGAUAAAAGGUACUCCGGGGAUAACAGGCUGAUACCGCCCAAGAGUUCAUAUCGACGGCGGUGUUUGGCACCUCGAUGUCGGCUCAUCACAUCCUGGGGCUGAAGUAGGUCCCAAGGGUAUGGCUGUUCGCCAUUUAAAGUGGUACGCGAGCUGGGUUUAGAACGUCGUGAGACAGUUCGGUCCCUAUCUGCCGUGGGCGCUGGAGAACUGAGGGGGGCUGCUCCUAGUACGAGAGGACCGGAGUGGACGCAUCACUGGUGUUCGGGUUGUCAUGCCAAUGGCACUGCCCGGUAGCUAAAUGCGGAAGAGAUAAGUGCUGAAAGCAUCUAAGCACGAAACUUGCCCCGAGAUGAGUUCUCCCUGACUCCUUGAGAGUCCUGAAGGAACGUUGAAGACGACGACGUUGAUAGGCCGGGUGUGUAAGCGCAGCGAUGCGUUGAGCUAACCGGUACUAAUGAACCGUGAGGCUUAACCUUACAACGCCGAAGGUGUUU
rnacentral:rRNA from 1 species